UACGGGGGGGGGAAGCGUUGUUCGGAAUUAUUGGGCGUAAAGAGCUCGUAGGCGGCCUGUUGCGUCCGCUGUGAAAUCCCGGGGCUCAACCCUGGGCGUGCAGUGGAUACGGGCAGGCUGGAGGCAGGCAGGGGAGAACGGAAUUCCCGGUGUAGCGGUGAAAUGCGUAGAGAUCAGGAAGAACACCGGUGGCGAAGGCGCUCUGCUAGGCCGCAACUGACACUGAGGGACGAAAGCUAGGGGAGCGAAUGGG
rnacentral:rRNA from 1 species